GAGGGUAUAGCUCAGUGGUAGAGAGCAUGCUUAGUAUGCACAAGGUCCUGGGCUCAAUCCCCAGUGCCUCCA
rnacentral:tRNA from 1 species